UAGGGAAUCUUCCGCAAUGGACGCAAGUCUGACGGAGCAACGCCGCGUGAGUGAAGAAGGAUUUCGGUUCGUAAAACUCUGUUGUUAGAGAAGAACAGCGCAUAGAGUAACUGUUAUGCGUGUGACGGUAUCUAACUAGAAAGCCACGGCUAACUACGUGCCAGCAGCCGCGGUAAUACGUAGGUGGCAAGCGUUGUCCGGAUUUAUUGGGCGUAAAGCGAGCGCAGGCGGUCAAUUAAGUCUGAUGUGAAAGCCCCCGGCUCAACCGGGGAGGGUCAUUGGAAACUGGUUGACUUGAGUGCAGAAGAGGAGAGUGGAAUUCCAUGUGUAGCGGUGAAAUGCGUAGAUAUAUGGAGGAACACCAGUGGCGAAGGCGACUCUCUGGUCUGUAACUGACGCUGAGGCUCGAAAGCGUGGGUAGCAAACAGG
rnacentral:rRNA from 1 species